AGAGAGGGUGCCGGGAAGCCUGGAAAGGGGAGGGGCCCAGACUCAGGGGUCACCUGGCCUAGAGUCAGAAAUUCUUUUCCACAACAGCAAGAGAGGGUUGGGUGAGAUAAAAGGAGGGACUUCCUAGACUGGAGAAGGUGCUGUGGAAGUGAAGGUUCCUAUUUGGCAGGACCCCAGAGUACCCAGGCCCAAACUCAUUCCGGAUAUGGAGAAAGUUGGGCCUGAGUUGGGGGGGACAGGAGAGAGAGCGUGGGGCGGGCCGCCUCGGGGGCACAUGACGGCGGCGCCCGCCCCGCCCCGCGCCCGCCCCCUGCCCGGCCGUGGGGGGAGGAGACGCGGAGGUUUUAAAGGCGAUCUGGGCCGGCCGGCGGGGUGGGGCGCGGCCGGCGUCGUCUCGCCCGCGCGGAGCCCGGCUCCCCUCCCCCGCGGGGAAGUGGGGUCCGGCCCGGGAGAGACUCGCGGGGCGCGGGCGGCAGCAACUUUCCCGCUCGGGCCGGGGACGAGAGAGGGGCCGCGACCGGCCGGCCCCGGAGGCAGGAGCUGGAUCCCACUGCGGGCGACAGCAGGCCACCGAACCCCUGGGCUGUGCGUGACCUUCCCUCCUGGCCAGGCCCCACUGGCCAUCUGAGUGUCUAGGAAGUGCCCUGGCUCCCUGUACCUGCCCCCUUCCCAGCCUCCAGCAGCUGCCCGCCCCUGGCAGGGUGGCCCGAGAAGGUGCUACACUCCGAUCCUGCUUGCUGUCCCCUCACUGUGCCUUGGCCGGCUGGGGUUCCUGGGGAUGGGAUUUGAUGCCAGUCACAAAUCACAUUGCCAGGGAUUUCCAACUGACCUUGUGCUCUGCCUUGGAGGCUCCAGUUGCCAAGGAUGACUGCCUAUCUUGGGUACUGGGUGAGAGAGAAGCCCAGCAUGACAACUGGCCUGAGGAGCAGGGCUUAGCUGCUUGUGAGCAAGGUCCGCAGCAAGUCGUGUUCACAGUGGCUAAGUUCCGCUCCCCCGGGCCCCAUCUCCUCAGACUCUGCUGCCCACCCUGCUCUGCCUCCUUCUCCCUGGGCUCCGCCUCCUGUGCCUACUGAGCUGAAACAGUUGAUUCCAGUGCACUGGCUCAGUUCAGCAGGAACAGGAGUCCAGCCCCCUAGGAGCUGGCACCCCUACAGAAUGUCUGUCAUGACUUGAGACCUGGAUGGAGUAGGGACCUGGGAGGAGUGGGCCCAUCAGUUGUGCCUAGGCCCAGCUAUCUGCUAUAGCCCUUCCUCUAACCUUCAUCUGGAUAUGCCACUCCACAUGGCCACACCUUGAGAUUUUUUAUGGUCCCCACAGAGAAGAGAUGGAUGAGUGGCUGACCCUUGCAUAAAAGGCAGGCCAGCUGUACCCCCUCAGGGCCUGCAGCCCUUCUUCUCAUAAGCCCAGCGGGGCCCAGGCACCACCCCUUACACCUUCCCUGCAGUCACUUACCCAAGAGGAAGCUGCUUUUGGCCCUCUGACAGUUAAAUGCCAACUCCCAGCUUCCGCAACAAAGCACUGACCUUACCCGGUGUGCUUGGUGCCCCACGAGGCCUGCAGCUUUCCACUGGAGACAGUGAUUCAGGGAGCAAGUCCACAGGGCCCUAAAAGGGUAGGAACAGAUCCACCCCUUCCCCUGGUACUGGGGCUUGCUGGAGUAGUCUCCAGGCUUGGAAGUUAAAAAGUUGCCUGUAUCUCCAAACCAGACAGGAUGCAGGCAUUGGCAUGGGGUUAAGUUACACUUCCCAGAUCACCCAGUGUCCCCUCCCAACCCUGGGUAGCGGCAAAUGGAGGCUUGGGUGGAAGAACAGAGAGGUGGAGCUUGUAUUGAAUGUUGUGCCUGUUUUCCAAUUAAAUAAAAGCUUCCCAGCUUCAUUCCUUAA
rnacentral:lncRNA from 1 species